rnacentral:lncRNA from 1 species
AUGAAAAAAGGGGAUAAAAGUCCACCCUUAUAUACAUACAGUACCUACCUUUUGCUUUGCCAGGGCAACCUGGGUAGGGUUACAGGAGAUUGUAGGGAUUCUCCCUCACCAACAACAUGUUGGCUCACCCCAUAUGAAUACAAGAGAAAGCCACACACUAAUGAAAAAAAGAGAACAGAUCAUAACAUGUUCAUCAUUGUGAGUUGUUGAGAAGUUCAGAAUGGCAUUCUCCUUGAACUCAGAAAAGUGAGUCAAGAUGAGAAUUGGACUGAAUGCAAUGUUUGCUGAGCUUAAACAAAUAUUAUGUUAUAUGUUUAAAACCUCACCCCUAUCACUUUCCAUUGAAGCCCUGACAUUGUCUUUAUGAUCCUGCACAAAGAAAAUUGAAAAGAUGACUCCCUCUUUUUCUAAGACAGAAAGCAUAAUGUUUUUCCACCAGCAGUUUAAAUGAGAGACAUAAUAACACUUCAGUUCAUUUAUUCAAAAUUAGUGAUCAUCAGAGAAAUAGUGUGCAGAUUUUCUCAUUCAGUCGCUUGCUCAUGUGAUAUCUUGUUCAUUGUCUUUUACAAUACUGUUCCAGCACCGUAGAAAUAAGCAGAAAUGGACCAUAAUAUUAGCAGGAUAAUUGAAAGCAGCUUUUGGUCACAGUAAUUCUUUAUCACAUUGUUUUAUAUCCAGAAGAAGCUGUGUCAAGGAAAGGGAGCAGUUUUUCCUCUUGUAGCUGUCUGGGGAACAGAGGCAGCUGUUGGAGGCAUUGUAGGGGUCACUUUUUCCCGAACUGAUGAGAUGUAUUGGUUGCUUUUGGUUUACAGUGGUGCGUCGCUAGACGAUGAUAAUCCAUUCAACUGAAAUCGCUGUUUAGGGAAAUCAUUGUCUAGCAAAAAGCAUCUCCCCAUUGGAAUGCAUUGAAACCUGUUUAAUGCAUUCCUAUAGGGAAGAAUCGUUGUUGUCUAGCGAAGAUCGGCCAUAGGAAAGCCACUUUGCGAACCGCCGAUCAGCUGUUUAAAUCGCUGUCUUGUGAAGCUUAGGUCCAGAAAACACCUAUUUUGUGAGCGCGGCCUUACAAUGGUUGCCCAUUCGUUUCCGCAUUGACUUCGUGGUGUUAAGGCUUACAUAUCAAGCCCUAAAUGGUUUAGGACCUCGAUACCUGGCAGAGGGCCUGCUCCCACCUAGCUCUACUUGUGCCACUUGAUCUAGCCAGGCCGGGCGACUGAGGAGCUUGACCCCGAGACACUUGUGCCACUUGAUCUAACCAGACCGGGCGACUGAGGACCUUGACCCCAAGAGAGUCCCAGAAAGAGAGAACUUAGAAACCGGGCCUUCUCGGUGGUGGCCCCUCGCCUCUGGAACACCUUGCCCCGGAAAUUCGCCUGGCACCCUGGCUGGCAGUUUUUAAGAACAAGUGAAGACUUGGUUCUUCAGGCAGGCCUUCCCUCCUUCCAUUUCUUAAUUUCCUAAGUCUUACCAUCUUGGUCUUUGCUUAUCUUUAUGUUGUCUGAUAUUGUUUGUUUUAAAUUUUGUUUUAUAUUUGGAAUGUAAGCUGCCCAGAGUAGAUUCAUCGAAUAUAGAUGGGUGAGGUGAAAACUGGAAAAAUAAAUAAAUAGAGAAUGGCA